AGUGGCGAAAAGCUUUUACUAAUCUGCUACCGCAAAUAAUCUAAUCGGGACGUGUAACUAAUAAAUUUCGCCGAUGAGGAUGGAAAUUCUCUCCUGGGGCCAUAAAACGGCAAAAGUUCCAAGCGAGCUGUAAAAUUCGUGACGUCCAACCCAAUCCAGAUUGAAAAUCGGAAAAGUACCCCAAUUCACAAAAACUUACGACGGCCUUGUCGCGACGUACAUUUUCGAACUGCACAAAAAACUUGGCAUUUCUAUCGAACGAAACCGUGAGAAGAUAAACAAUGCAAGGUUGUCGAGAUAUUGAAACUGUUCAAAAAAGUUCUUUUUUCAACACCCCGUAUACGGUCGUCUGCAGCAACACCCUGGCCUAUCCUUGGUGGCAAAAGGGCACCUGAAGUCAAAGUAAAAAAUCCGAAAUGAUAAAGAAGCAUAGAAAGCGAAGACUAUGAUGUGAAAUCAAAAAGAGAAAGAAGCUGAAAAGGAAAUCGAAGGCACCGUGGCUGACAAAGAAUGUUGCAUAGUUUCGCUUUUUCUGUGACACUAAUACAACAGCAUCUAAAAUAUUGCACGAGGACGGCGAUGGAUCCAUAAAUUCUCAGCUGUUCUGUGAUCCUGAUAAAAAUUAUAAGGGAACUUUGUGUCAAGAGCAUUUAUACAAAAGAAGCCCUGUCAGUAAAUUCUGCGUACUCUCUCAACGUGAAAUUCACAGAUCACACAAUGCUAUGUUCUCCUGAUACAAAUUUGUGUUUAUGUUUUACCUUGAAAAACAUUGCUUCAUGACCAG